UUUUACAAUAAGCGGAAAUCAGAAAUGAUCUCUUGUGUAUCUCAUGUCUUAUCUCUCGUAGCCAGUGAAGGAGUGCUGCAUUCCUCAACAAGCAGGUUGGGUAAGAUCCACCGUCGCCUGUGAAGAAGAAGACUGGCUGUUUUAAAGUGAAUGAUUGCAAAUGCAUCAUGAAGGACGGCACAGGAGUGAUCAGCCUGAGGACUAUGGGAGAUGAGGAUGGCUUCUUGUUGCGCUCGAAACCCGUGCUCGGACAUAGCCUUGGGAAAGAAAAUACUGAGGUCCUUUUCUCCUUUAGCUCUUGCCAACCUUUCACAGAACCAGAGGAUCUAGCUGGGACUGAAUGUACUAACAUUGCGGCCUGCUUGAUAGUAAGGUUUAGGAUCUGGAACAACAGAUAUAUAACCCGUUAUGUAGACUAUGGAAGACAUGAGGGUGACGAGUUCCAUUAUAAUGACAGCAUGAAGACACUCUCAGUUUCAUACUUUGGUAAAUGAUUACUUAAUAAACAAUUUCAUAGUUCAAAGUGCCCCAAAAGAGAUAUCAGCCUCUAAAUAUUGUUCCUGUUUCCAGCCCUCGCUAACAACAAACAGCCCCAGACCAUAGUACACUACCACUGCAGUCCCAACCACACCACAUCCUUCGUCCAAGACUUCAGCAUCGACAUCCCCCUGCAGAUCUGGGUGGAGAGUGCCUGUGCCUGUCCAAACGCCUGCGCCAUCAGCGACCUGGGUCCUGGCACCAUCUUCCUCAUCAUCCUCUCCCUCAGCGCUGCCGCCUACUUGAUCUUGGGCUCCUGUGCCCUGAGGCCCUUCAGGACCAGCAGCAGCGGUGUGCAGAUCGCCCCCGAGGACAACACCUGGUGCAUGCUCUGCUACCUGUUCGCAGAGAGGAAGGGAGGAAAGCCGAGGAGGAGGUAUUACUCCUUCAGAGAGGACAAACUCUGAGCACUGGAAUCUCUCUGUCCAGGAUCAUCCAAAAUAACAGUUUUUCAUACCAAAACUGUAGACUUAAUUGAACAUUUAAACUUAAUUCGUAUGUUCUUGCCUACAUAGGAAUUCAGCAUGACCCAUAGAAGUGUGUGGUUACAUUUUAUUGUCUAAAGAGCACAAGUGACGAUCACAAAAAUGAUUCUAUGAUGUUACAAAUGAGUGGUCAUUAAAGAUGAAUUUGAUCAUA